rnacentral:lncRNA from 1 species
AGGGGAGUCCCCGCACCAGGUUGAGACGACUUUCCUUCCUCAGCUUCCCCGCCCUCUCUCUCCGAAUUCUUGAAUUCUUCAGCCCGGGCCGCCGCUGCCCUCCUGGUCCCUCCGGGCCGCACGCGCGGCAGGGAGCGAGCAGCAUCCGGUCCCUUCCGGAGCGCGCAGGCGGCGCCUUCUCAGCGUGCGCCCGGGGUGGGUCGACAGCGACCGGGACGGGAGGCGGGAGCGUUCCCGGAGGCUGCGGAGAGCCCCGCUUUGUCUCAAGGGACCGCUGGGAAGUUUCCUCCUUUUCCCGCCCGCAUCCCUCUCCUUCCAGGUGCUCCAGGAAGUCGCCGGAGCUGAAGGUGAAGAAACUGAGGCCCAGAAAGGUGCUAGCAGCAAUAGUGGUCCUCUCUGAUUUUCAGUUUUUCGAAGACCACUGCAAUUCGCAAGUAGAUCCUGCAUUUGGAAUUUGCCAGAGUCACUUUGGAAGUUCCCGGGGCAGCACCAUAGGUACUGGGCUCCUAGGCCUUUGUGGGAUCCAAGACCCUGAGGCCGUGCUAAACACGAGAUAGACCCAGAGCUCCCGCCCUGGCCCCAUUGGAAAACAAACUCCUCUGCCUCCUACUUGCAGUGCUGAAAAGUGGUAGAGGUUUUGAAUCAAAUCUUCGUAAAUACCAAAUUUUAGCCGAAUCACCUUCCCUCCCAGGCCAUUACAAGAUGCCAAAUAGAACUGUCUCAUUUCCUUUCAAGCCCAUGUUUUUCCCAGGGUGGUAUUUCAUGGUUAUUAUUCUUUGCCCUGCUCUUAAUGAGAGAAACAGGUAGUGAUCUGCAUACUCUAGUUGAUAAUGCUUCCUAAUAAUAUUGUAAUCUGAGUUUAUAUAAUAUGUAAUCUGAAGGGUGUGGAGGGAUCUGUGUCUAAGAAAAGAGUAUUGCCUCCCUGCCUCUGUGACAAAUAAAGGAUUUUAGUCUGAUUCAUAACCUUUUACAAACAGCUCCAUCUUGACCAGACCAUUGUAUUUGGUGACCUAUUCAAUUUAUUAAUGUUUCACAUUGGGCCUAAGUGCCUAC